GACGAACGCUGGCGGCGUGCCUAAUACAUGCAAGUUGAGCGCUGAAGGUUGGUACUUGUACCAACUGGAUGAGCAGCGAACGGGUGAGUAACGCGUGGGGAAUCUGCCUUUGAGCGGGGGACAACAUUUGGAAACGAAUGCUAAUACCGCAUAAAAACUUUAAACACAAGUUUUAAGUUUGAAAGAUGCAAUUGCAUCACUCAAAGAUGAUCCCGCGUUGUAUUAGCUAGUUGGUGAGGUAAAGGCUCACCAAGGCGAUGAUACAUAGCCGACCUGAGAGGGGGAUCGGCCACAUUGGGACUGAGACACGGCCCAAACUCCUACGGGAGGCAGCAGUAGGGAAUCUUCGGCAAUGGACGAAAGUCUGACCGAGCAACGCCGCGGGAGUGAAGAAGGGUUUCGGAUCGUAAAACUCUGUUGGUAGAGAAGAACGUUGGUGAGAGUGGAAAGCUCAUCAAGUGACAGUAACUACCCAGAAAGGGACGGCUAACUACGUG
rnacentral:rRNA from 1 species